CACUAUUAAAAAUAAAACAGAAAAGGAUAAUUUGUGCAUAAUACUAAGAGGAAGCAGUAUGGUCCAAUGGACAGAGCACAGGACAGGGCAUUAGGAGACCUGGGUUCACUUCCUGACUGUUGUUUGCUAUUACUCACUGGGCAAACUCUGAGCAGAUCUGGAUGAAUAAAGAAGUGCAGGGAGAGUGAAACCCAGCCAGAGAGCAGGGCUUGAGCUGGCUCCCUUUCCUGUCCACGUUGUAUUAGCAAUAGGCCAGCACACUUCCAAGAACAAGGCUGUCUCCUGAAUGAAAGAAAAAUAAAACGGAGAACAGGAGCACAAUGAUUAUACUAUUCAAGCACAAAGAGUGUCAAUUUAAGGAUUAUUAAACUUGACCUGACUGGGGAAUGGCUAAGGUAGGGUAAAACAAAAAUAGAGCUGAAAAGAACACAAACUUUUUGGUAAGAAACUUACGAGUAAUGAUUUGUUUAAUUUCUUAGCUGUUUUUGGAGCACAGAAAUUUCUCCUCUUAUGAUUUUUUUUUUUUGUACUGCAGUAGUGCCUAGAAGACCCAACCAAAGUUAAAGGCCUUAUUGUGUUAGGUGCUGUGUACCCCUCCGCCAAGAGAUUAUUUCUAUCCCAAAAAGCUUAUGAUCCCUAGUUAUUUCUCAAUGACCUAUGCACAGAUUUGAAAUGGACACCGGCAAGUAUAAAAAUGGAUCUCUUUUGGAAGUAAAUUUGGAAUUAUGAUAUUCAUUUUUGUAUUUCUUCAAAAAAUAAGCAUUUGACUGGAAAUUGGAUAAUUUUAAUGCUACUGGAUCUAUUUUUGUGUAAAAGUCCUCAACUUUGCCUGCUUGUUCAUGCAAACUCAAAAUGCCAAGCUUGUCAGAUUUCACAGUGACUAUUUUGCACAUCCCUACACAAUAAAAUGGCUCAAGAAUAUAUGCAUGGAUUUCAAAACUACAAACUGCAUUUUAAAAGCAGACUGCAGCCCAGAUUUUCAACAUCUAUGUA